CUGCAAUGUUCUGCAAGUCAUGAAUGUUCACUAAGAAAAUUUGCUCAAGCAUUGAACUCCAGUACCUGCUGCAUUCAGGGGGUCGAUCUCUUUGACUGUCAGUUUUAUUAUUUGUGAGUGGAAAUGAGAAGUAAAAAUGACACAAAAAGGAGGAAGAGGCCAAAGCUAAACCACAUCCUGACACAGAUGACAAGAUGUGGUGAGAUCCACGAGAAACAGAACUCAUCCAUUUUAAAACAAUGAAGCUGCUUCUGAUCCUUGUUCUUCUGAAAGGUGUCCACUGUCAAGCUAUAUGGGGUCCGAAGGCAAUUACAGUCAUGGAGCAUGAAGAUCUGAUAGUGGAGUGCAGAUAUCAGAAAGGAUAUGAAAACUAUGAAAAAUACUGGUGUGAAGGAAGCAGACACUUGUCUUGUUCUGUUUUGGCAAGAACAACUUCUUCAUACAUAUCCAGAAGUGGCCUGUUUCUGAGUGAGAAUAAGACUAAGAGAGUAAUAAAUAUAAUUAUGAAGGACAUCCAGGAGAGAGAAGAAGGAACAUACAGGUGUGGAAUAUCAACUACUGGGAUAGAUGAAUAUUCUCUUGUUGUUGUUAAAGUUAAGAAAGCUCUGCCCAUAACUCCAACAAAAGCAAAAGAAACAGUAUCUUCAACAGCGAUGCCGAGAACCACAGUCAGUAUGACGUCCCUUGAGGAGUCUGAAGUGACGAAAGCACCAGUCACAGAGGCACCAGACAACAGAAGAGGGUGGUCUCCUACCCACACUGCUGCUGUCAUCUCUGUGGGACUUCUGCUGCUGCUCAUCUGCCUGCUCAUAGUUACUUACAUCUGGAGGCUCAAACACAGAAGAAGGACCCAGACCCAAUGUAAUACUAUCCAGCUAUCUGAAGAACAAGUGGAGAUAAACUAUGCGGAAGUAAAAAGGGCCACUAAGACGAGCAGGCGUCUAUAUGAUGAGCCCAUCUAUGCCAAUAUGAGCGCCAAUGGAUCCCGAGAGCAGCCACCAGCAGGGGGCGACGUUGAGUAUGGAACCCAAGAGCAGCCACCAGCAGGGGGCGACGUUGAGUACGCUGCCAUUCGCUGCUGAACACCAGGGUCUGUUAGCUGAGGAGGCAGUCUUCACAUAAGAGACUGGAAAAGAUUUUAUAAAUAAUUUUACCAAACAGAACAUCAAAGACACUUCUACACUCCUACAGCCAUUUUUCAUUCCUUCUCUGAUUAAGAAGAAAAAAACAGCAUGAAAAUAUGAAGCACAAGCUGACUUCAACCUUCAAGAGACCUCAAGACCCACCUGCUUCUGUAAGGUCUUUGCAGGCUGCACACCACUGGCCUAAAUGAUUCCUUGGUCCUUGAGAUCUAACAGACAAGUACUUUUAGAAUUUCUAAGAUCUCAACUAAACCUGAACAAGCCAGAAGCCACAUCAGUCGCUGCCUGUAAAACUGCUAAGACAUACUUUUAUAAACAGGUGUUCAGUCCGGGAUGAGAUACUGUAGCUCUGGGAUAGUUGGUUGUUUUAUGUUAUGCUUUGUUCCCGUUUCUCUUUAAUUCAGAUCUUCUAUAGUUGUGUGUAUUUUAUGCUUUGUAAAGCACUUUGGUGCAUGCUUAUCAUCUUGUAAUGUGCUCCAUAAAUAAAUGUUACUUGUUUACUUACACACCCCUAUGAAAGGCCAAGCAGCUCAAAACGUGUUGGCUUUUUUCACAAGACAUGUUAACAUGCACAAUUUGUACGUGUAAAUGCAUUAUAACAUGUUAAGAUGGACAAAAGGUGCAUGCUAACAUGUUAGUUUUGAGUGUGUUAAUGUGAAAAAGCUAAGAUGUUUUGACCCUUUUGACAGGGGAAGUCCUGUGUCUCUGUACGAAAGUUAUACUGGACGUCCUGGAGACUGCGGCGGCCCCCGUGUGACACACAUUUACUAAUCGGUUAGUUUAGACUUCAGACUUAUGUUUAGUUGAUUAGUUUAGACAACGUGGUUAUAUCUAUCCAUCCAUCCAUCCAUCCAUUUUCCAAACCGUUUAUCCUACUGGGUCGUGGGGGGUCCGGAGCCUAUCCCGGAAGCAAUGGGCACGAGGCAGGGAACAACCCAGGAAGGGGGGCCAGCCCAUCGCAGGGCACAUUCACACACCAUUUAUGCAUACAUGCACACCUACGGACAAUUUAGCAAGUCCAAUUAGCCUCAGCAUGUUUUUGGACUGUGGGGGGAAACCGGAGUACCCGGAGGAAACCCCACAACAACAUGGGGAGAACAUGCAAACUCCACACACAUGUGACCCAAGCAGAGACUC